UACGAAGGGGGCUAGCGUUGCUCGGAAUCACUGGGCGUAAAGGGUGCGUAGGCGGGUCUUUUAAGUCAGGGGUGAAAUCCUGGAGCUCAACUCCAGAACUGCCUUUGAUACUGAGGAUCUUGAGUUCGGGAGAGGUGAGUGGAACUGCGAGUGUAGAGGUGAAAUUCGUAGAUAUUCGCAAGAACACCAGUGGCGAAGGCGGCUCACUGGCCCGAUACUGACGCUGAGGCA
rnacentral:rRNA from 1 species